AGUGAACGCUGGCGGUAGGCCUAACACAUGCAAGUCGAACGGCAGCACAGUAAGAGCUUGCUCUUACGGGUGGCGAGUGGCGGACGGGUGAGGAAUACAUCGGAAUCUACUUUUUCGUGGGGGAUAACGUAGGGAAACUUACGCUAAUACCGCAUACGACCUACGGGUGAAAGCAGGGGAUCUUUGGACCUUGCGCGAUUGAAUGAGCCGAUGUCGGAUUAGCUAGUUGGCGGGGUAAAGGCCCACCAAGGCGACGAUCCGUAGCUGGUCUGAGAGGAUGAUCAGCCACACUGGAACUGAGACACGAUCCAGACUCCUACGGGAGGCAGCAGUGGGGAAUAUUGGACAAUGGGCGCAAGCCUGAUCCAGCCAUACCGCGUGUGUGAAGAAGGCCUUCGGGUUGUAAAGCCCUUUUGUUGGGAAAGAAAAGCAGCAGGUUAAUACCCCGCUGUUCUGACGGUACCCAAAGAAUAAGCACCGGCUAACUUCGUG
rnacentral:rRNA from 1 species